CGUAGGUGAACCUGCGGAAGGAUCAUUACUUAAAGGCAUGAAUAGUACAAUUUUACAAUUGUCGUUCAGACCUUUUCUCUACCUUGAUUUUUGUGUACUCUUGUUUCCUUGGUAGGCUUGCCUACCAGUUGGACAAAACCAUAACUCUUUUAAUAUGAAGUCAGCGUCUGAAUUAUUUAAUAAUUACAACUUUCAACAACGGAUCUCUUGGUUCUGGCAUCGAUGAAGAACGCAGCGAAAUGCGAUAAGUAGUGUGAAUUGCAGAAUUCAGUGAAUCAUCGAAUCUUUGAACGCACAUUGCGCCCCUUGGUAUUCCAUGGGGCAUGCCUGUUCGAGCGUCAUUUGUAAUCUCAAGCUAUGCUUGGUGCUGGGUAUAUGUCUUAGCUAAGCCUAAAGACUUACCUUAAAUAUAUUGGCAGCCAGUAUUUUGGUUUGAAAUGUGCAGCACAGCGCUUUAAGCUACUAAUACUGGCAUCCAUGAAGAAUUAUCACUCUUUUGACCUCGGAUCAGGUAGGGAUACCCGCUGAACUUAAGCAUAUCAAUAAGCGGAGGAAAAGAAACCAACAGG
rnacentral:rRNA from 1 species